rnacentral:rRNA from 1 species
CUACGGAGGGGGCUAGCGUUGUUCGGAAUUACUGGGCGUAAAGCGCACGUAGGCGGCGUGGUAAGUCAGAUGUGAAAUCCCGGGGCUCAACCCCGGAACUGCAUCCGAUACUGCCGUGCUUGAGGGUUGGAGAGGUGACUGGAAUUAUCGGUGUAGCAGUGAAAUGCGUGGAUAUCGAUAGGAACACUCGUGGCGAAGGCGAGUCACUGGACAACAUCUGACGCUGAGGCUCGAAGGCUAGGGGAGCAAAAGGG